UGCAAGUCGAGCGAACAGACGAGGAAGCUUGCUCCUCUGACGUUAGCGGCGGACGGGUGAGUAACACGUGGAUAACCUACCUAUAAGACUGGGAUAACUUCGGGAAACCGGAGCUAAUACCGGAUAAUAUAUUGAACCGCAUGGUUCAAUAGUGAAAGACGGUUUUGCUGUCACUUAUAGAUGGAUCCGCGCCGCAUUAGCUAGUUGGUAAGGUAACGGCUUACCAAGGCAACGAUGCGUAGCCGACCUGAGAGGGUGAUCGGCCACACUGGAACUGAGACACGGUCCAGACUCCUACGGGAGGCAGCAGUAGGGAAUCUUCCGCAAUGGGCGAAAGCCUGACGGAGCAACGCCGCGUGAGUGAUGAAGGUCUUCGGAUCGUAAAACUCUGUUAUUAGGGAAGAACAAAUGUGUAAGUAACUAUGCACGUCUUGACGGUACCUAAUCAGAAAGCCACGGCUAACUACGUGCCAGCAGCCGCGGUAAUACGUAGGUGGCAAGCGUUAUCCGGAAUUAUUGGGCGUAAAGCGCGCGUAGGCGGUUUUUUAAGUCUGAUGUGAAAGCCCACGGCUCAACCGUGGAGGGUCAUUGGAAACUGGAAAACUUGAGUGCAGAAGAGGAAAGUGGAAUUCCAU
rnacentral:rRNA from 1 species